GGGUUGUGAGGUUAAGCGACUAAGCGUACACGGUGGAUGCCCUGGCAGUCAGAGGCGAUGAAGGACGUGCUAAUCUGCGAAAAGCGUCGGUAAGGUGAUAUGAACCGUUAUAGCCGGCGAUGUCCGAAUGGGGAAACCCAGUGCAAUUCGUUGCACUAUCGUUUGAUGAAUACAUAGUCAAACGAGGCGAACCGGGGGAACUGAAACAUCUAAGUACCCCGAGGAAAAGAAAUCAACCGAGAUUCCCCCAGUAGCGGCGAGCGAACGGGGAGCAGCCCGGAGUCUGAAUCAGCUUGUGUGUUAGUGGAAGCGUCUGGAAAGUCGCAGGGUACAGGGUGAUACUCCCGUACACUAAAAC
rnacentral:rRNA from 1 species